CUUACAUAUUGGGUUAAAUAAAAUAUGUUGUUAAACUUACUUUCACCAUUUCGUUUGACUUUUUAAAUGUGGCUUCUAGAAAAAUCAUAUUUGUGAUUUACAUUACAUUUCUGUUGGACAAUGCUACUUUAGAGGAAGCAGGUUCUGCCUUUUAACAAGACAAAUUCCACUGGAUGGAAGACAGAUGGAAUGGGCUAGAGAGUGAAGGACAGACUUGGCAAAGCCUGAAGGGAAGGACUGUGAGGGUGGGAACAUGUGUAAAAGAUCAGUCAAAGGAUUUGUUUAUUUCUUGAAGAGAGUUGGGUGGGGAUGGGAAAGGCCAGAAUGUGUUUCUUGGGUGAGGCUCACAGAUCCAGUUUUGGAGGGAGUAACAUAGGAGAGAGGAAGCCGGGUGAAGAGGGAGCACAGACGGAUGGGAGGCUCAAGUCCAAGAACCAGCGGAGGGACCAGCCUUGAACAGGAUGCCUCUCACCGCCUCUGAGAAGAGAAAAAAGCAGGACAGCUGAUUUCCUGCAGAAGCCUGAUGGGCUUCUCGCUUUUCCUAGGACCUGUGGUCACCACAGACACAAGAGGCUGCCAAGGCUGGGGCUGUGCCAGUGCCCCACCCCCGUGAGCCUGGGGCUCAAGCGACACUCCAGUGAACAUGUUCACUACUUCUGACAAGAUCAAAGGAAUGAACAGAUCCUUGCUCCUAAAUCCUGCCCUCUACCCCUGCCAGACCCCCAAGGCCUCACUGUAAAAAGUGAGGCUGUUCCUGAGCAAGCAGGGCACAUGCUUGCAUUUUGGGAACUGGGAUAUCAGGAGCACAAAAUUAUCACAAUGACACAUGCCUCACAACAAUGAAAUUGGAGUGAAACCAGGGAAGAUUCACCGGCACAUUGGCUUGUAUUCUCCAGAUGAUCUAACUUCCUCCUAAAAAUUACAAGUAUUCUAUUAUCCUGCCAGUCUAUAGAAGCUGUUUGGUCUCACCCUCUCAUCUGACCAAAGGGGCUACUGUUAGACAAGAGGAGAGGUGGACUGGCAAAUAUGUCAGCCUCCUUUCUCCCAGUGUCUUUACCAUUAUCCUGAAUGCUGGUUGGGUCACAAAGGCUGGCUUCAGGCAGAAUUAUGGAAGCAGUGAGGUUUGCCUGUAUUCCUGCAAAGUGUUGCUCUGCACUGAGGGCCUUUAUACAGAACUUCACCCAGGUCCCUCCCCGGCAACAACUCACUGAUCCUGGCCAAGACCUUGUACUUUCCAUCGGGACUUACACCUUUUUAUAUCCCUGGCAUCCAAUCCAGGGCCUAUAUAUGUGUGGAAUGGAAAAAAAAAACUCCCCAAAUGCAAAUAAAAACCACAGUGAGAUACCACCUCAUACCCACUAGGAUGGCUAUAUCAAAAAAACAAAAAUAAGAAAAUAAAAAGUGUUGGUAAAGAUG